rnacentral:rRNA from 1 species
UACGUAGGUGGCAAGCGUUGUCCGGAUUUACGUGGCGUAAAGAGCGCGCAGGCGGUCGUUCAAGUCGCGUGUGAAAGCCCCCGGCUCAACUGGGGAGGGUCACGCGAUACUGAUCGACUCGAAGGCAGGAGAGGGUAGUGGAAUUCCCGGUGUAGUGGUGAAAUGCGUAGAUAUCGGGAGGAACACCAGUGGCGAAGGCGACUACCUGGCCUGUUCUUGACGCUGAGGCGCGAAAGCUAGGGGAGCAAACGGGG